AAACAUCGGCCGAGACCAGCGACCAGAUUAUCUCCACCUUAACUGGAGGGGUACAGCUAAACUAGGCACUUUGAUUCGUAACACAGUGCUUCUUAGAAUGAAUGGAGGAGUUGAUAGAAGGAAAAGGAGAACAGACGAGGUUGAUGGACGCUCAUAUCGGAACGUGUUGAGUGGGACGGGUUCUACUACUGCUGCUGAGUCUCGACACCAGGAUGGUUACCAGCCAUUCUGACUCCCCUGAGUAAAGAGAUCAUCAAGACGUGCUGAUCGAUUCAUCACUCCAACCCCAUCCACCUCCUUCAUAUAUCAAUCGACAAAAAUGUGGAACGAUUGUAGAAACACUGCUAGCAAUAUCAACUUCUCUACAUCAACGAACCUUGUGAAAUCCACAAUAAAAAAGGAGUUACUCGGCAUGCAGUCCAGGUACGACGAAAUAGAUUGGUGUGAACUGAACUUCGAUUCCAACGAACU